CCUCAGUAUGAACCCUGUAGACCCGAGUUUGGAUGCCGUUAGAUGCAAAUUCGAGUCUAUAAGGAAAGAUACUUUGGAA
rnacentral:pre_miRNA from 1 species